rnacentral:rRNA from 1 species
CCUACGGGAGGCAGCAGUGAGGAAUAUUGGUCAAUGGGCGGAAGCCUGAACCAGCCAAGUCGCGUGAGGGAAGAAGGCCCUGCGGGUCGCAGACCUCUUUGGACGGGGAGCAAGGCCGCCGACGUGUCGGCGGAAGGAGAGUACCCGUAGAACAAGCAUCGGCUAACUCCGUGCCAGCAGCCGCGGUAAUACGUAGGUGGCAAGCGUUAUCCGGAAUUAUUGGGCGUAAAGAGCGCGCAGGUGGUUAAUUAAGUCUGAUGUGAAAGCCCACGGCUUAACCGUGGAGGGUCAUUGGAAACUGGUUG